AAGGAAAGUACCAGUCAGAUAUAAGUUUGCCCAAUACUCAAUGUGUUGAUGAAAUGUAAGAAGUAAAAUCCACUGGCAAAUAUAUCUUAGGAUUCUUCGGAUCAGGGACCCAAUGUAUCUCACUCAUGUUUGGUUUCUCCACAUAGGCCAUGGUAAACUCUCCCACUUUUUCUGCCUUGCCUCGCUUACCUGCCCGUAGUACAUGGUUAU
rnacentral:misc_RNA from 1 species